rnacentral:rRNA from 1 species
AUUGAACGCUGGCGGCAGGCCUAACACAUGCAAGUCGAGCGGAUGAAGGGAGCUUGCUCCUGGAUUCAGCGGCGGACGGGUGAGUAAUGCCUAGGAAUCUGCCUGGUAGUGGGGGAUAACGUCCGGAAACGGGCGCUAAUACCGCAUAGGCCCUGAGGGAGAAAGGGGGGGAUCUCUGGACCCAAGGCAAUCAGAUGAGCCUAGGUCGGAUUAGCUAGUUGGGGGGGUAAAGGCCUACCAAGGCGACGAUCCGUAACUGGUCUGAGAGGAUGAUCAGUCACACUGGAACUGAGACACGGUCCAGACUCCUACGGGAGGCAGCAGUGGGGAAUAUUGGACAAUGGGCGAAAGCCUGAUCCAGCCAUGCCGCGUGUGUGAAGAAGGUCUUCGGAUUGUAAAGCACUUUAAGUUGGGAGGAAGGGCAGUAAGUUAAUACCUUGCUGUUUUGACGUUACCAACAGAAUAAGCACCGGCUAACUUCGUG